rnacentral:rRNA from 1 species
UAAAAUAAUUAAGGGCACACAAAGGAUGCCUAGGUAGUAAGAGCCGAUGAAGGACGUGGUAAGCUGCGAUAAGCCUAGAUAAGUUGCAAUCGAACGUAAGAGUCUAGGAUUUCCGAAUGGAGCAAUCUAUUAAGAUGGAGUCUUAAUACGAAAGAGGGAACCGCGUGAACUGAAACAUCUAAGUAACGCGAGGAAAAGAAAGUAAAAACGAUACCCAAAGUAGCGGCGAGCGAAAUGGGUCAAGCCUAAACCUUAAAUAUGUCAAGGAUACAGCCGUUGUAUUUAAGGGGUUGAGGGACAGAGUAGUGAAGAACUGUAAGAUAUUCAAUAUAGUGUAUUGAUGAAUUGGAAUUGUCUGGAAAGGCGAACCGUAGAAGGUGAAAGUCCUGUACAAGUAAAUCCUUACACAUAUAACUCUGCUCCCAAGUAACAUGGAACACGAGGAAUUCUGUGUGAAUCUGUGAGGACCAUAUCUCAUAAGGCUAAAUACUCUUACUAACCGAUAGCGCAUAGUACCGUGAGGGAAAGGUGAAAAGAACCCCUGGAGGGGAGUGAAAUAGAACCUGAAAUUGUGUGCUUACAAGCGGUCAGAGCCAGCAAUGGUGAUGGCGUGCCUUUUGGAGAAUGAUCCUGCGAGUUACGUUAAACGGCGAGGUUAAGUAUAACGGAGCCGAAGGGAAACCAAGUCUUAAUAGGGCGAUUUAGUCGUUUGGCGUAGACGCGAAACCUGGUGAUCUAAACCUGUCCAGGAUGAAGCUGUGGUAAGACACAGUGGAGGUCCUAACCCACCGCCGUUGAAAAGUUGGGGGAUGAGGUAGGUUUAGGGGUGAAAAGCCAAUCGAACCAGGAGAUAGCUCGUUCUCUCCGAAAUGCAUCUAGGUGCAGCCUUGAGUGUUCAAUUAUGGGGGUAGAGCACUGAAUGAUCUAGGGGGCGUAUUGCUUACUGAAAUCAAUCAAACUCCGAAUACCAUAAUUUAGAGCUCAGGAGUGAGACUAUGGGAGUUAACUUCCAUUGUCGAAAGGGAAACAACCCAGACCACCAGCUAAGGUCCCUAAUUAUAACUAAGUGGGAAAGGAGGUGGAGAUUCACAAACAACUAGGAGGUUGGCUUAGAAGCAGCCAUACCUUUAAAGAGUGCGUAAUAGCUCACUAGUCGAGAGUCUCUGCGCCGACAAUGUAACGGGGCUAAGUUAUAAACCGAAGCUGUGGAAUCCGUAAGGAUUGGUAGGAGAGCGUUCUGUAGGCCGUUGAAGGAGAAGGGUAACCGACUCUGGAGGUAUCAGAAGUGAGAAUGCAGGAAUAAGUAGCGAGAAAGGGGGCGAGAAUCCCCCUCGCCGGAAGACCAAGGUUUUCAGGGUAAAGCUUGUCUUCCCUGAGUAAGCCGGGACCUAAGCCCAGGCUAUAAUGCGUAGGCGAAUGGAAAACAGAUUAAUAUUUCUGUGCCAGUCAUAUAUUGUGAUGGAGGGACGCAGAAGGGUAUGCGCGCGGACGAACGGAAGUGUCCGUAGAAGUAUGUAGGAUGACUUGAUAGGUAAAUCCAUUGAGUUAUAUCUGAGGUAUGAUAUACAGUCGUAAGAUGAAUGUGCAAAUCCCACGCUGCCAAGAAAAGCUUCUAACGUUAAUAUUUGACUGCCCGUACUGUAAACCGACACAGGUGGUCAGGAUGAGAAAUCUAAGGCGGACAGGCUAACUCUCGUUAAGGAACUCUGCAAAAUAACCUCGUAACUUCGGGAGAAGAGGAGCCCUUGGGUGUUAGUAUCCAUGCGUUACAAAGCACUCGAGGGUCGCAGUGAAGAGGCUCAAGCAACUGUUUAACAAAAACACAGGUCUAUGCUAAGCUGGAAGGCGAUGUAUAUGGGCUGACACCUGCCCAGUGCUGGAAGGUUAAGAGGAGGAGUGAGAGCUCCGAAUUGAAGCCCCAGUGAACGGCGGCCGUAACUAUAACGGUCCUAAGGUAGCGAAAUUCCUUGUCGGGUAAG